GACGAACGCUGGCGGCGUGCUUAACACAUGCAAGUCGAACGGAAAGGCGAUGCGUUUGUGGGGUGCACGAGAGGCGAACGGGGGAGUAAAACGUGUGUAUAAUGUCCUUGAAUUUGGGAGAACUUCAGGAAAAAGGGGCGAAUACAGGAGAGGAGAUCCUGCACCAUGGUGUGGGUUGGAAAGAUUCGGCGGUUGGGGAUGGAAUCGAGGGUUAUCAGCUUGAUGGUGGGGUAGUGGCUUACCACGGCUAUGACGGGUAGCCGGCCUGAGAGCGUGACCGGCCACAUUGGGCCUGAGAUACGGAGCAGACGCCUACGGGAGGCAGCAGUGGAGAGCCUUGCACAGCGGGGCGAAGUCUGAUGCAGCAGCGCCGCGUGCGUGAUGACCGCCUUCGAGUUGUAAACCGAUUUCUACUGUGACGAAGCGUGAUUGACGGUACUGGGUAAAGAAGCACCGGCUAACUACGUG
rnacentral:rRNA from 1 species